rnacentral:lncRNA from 1 species
GAGGUAGUAAAGUAUGGUGCUGGAGAGUUCUAUUGACUUUUAGGGACAUGAAGUGUUUUUGGUAGCCAAUUACAUAGUAUGAAAAGUUUAAACUGUAUUUUCUCAAAUAAACGAUUUUCGCAAGGUUUGUAAUCUGCCAACAAUGAUAUCUCAAAAACAAUUUAACAGAUUUGGCUAAAAUUUUCAGAGGAUGUUUACUUCAUCAAAAGCUAUGCAAUGAAAUAGAAUGAAGUCAUUAGGUCAAAUACUUUUUGUGCUAUAAGCAAAAAUUCAUGCUGAUCAUGACUAAAUUUCAGGCACAUAUAUUGUUUCAUUCAGAACUUAGAAACUAUUUACCUGAUUUAAAAUCUUUUAGUUCAUUGCAUGGGUCUGGUAGUGCUUAUUAUUUUCCCAAAGUUUCAUAG